GAGGCUGUGGCUCAGUGGAAGGGCAUCUGCUUGUCAUGCAGAAAGUCCCAGGUUCAAUCCCUGGUAUCUUCA